CCACAGAGAGGUGUGAAAAGAGAAGAGGAAAAAAUUACACAAAGCAGCUUGGAGGUUUUCCCGGCAAGCAGCCAGAGGUGUUAACAGCAAUGUGCUCAGAUCUGCUCUGGCCACUGAGGUGGGAUUUCUGCGUUACCUUAUUCUUGCAUUGCCUUCUGAAGCAGAGGUAUGUGUUGGGGCUGGAGAACAGCGGGAGAGCUGCAGGAUAAUCACCCUCACAGCUAGGCUGGGGCUCAUAAAACUUCAACAGCAGCUUCACAGACCCUAAUCCUAUAACCCCAGCAGGCUCUCCCACCCUUCCUCUUUUAAGUAAGUCGAGUUUCUUUCUAGAAGAGAAAAGCCGAGAAGUGACCUCUUUCUUACUUGCACAGCAGGGACUCUGGCCUGAGCCCAAGGAGAGGGAGGCAGGUCUAGGCUUGCUUGAGGCCUGGUGGAGAGGGCCCUGCUAGGAGUACAUUUGCCCGAGGAGACCAAGCCCCUCCUCCCUUUGCUUAAGGGAAGCGAGCCUUCAAGCAAGAGGAGGAGGCAGGCAAGGGAAAAUCACAGUAUUUAUAGAACUUAGAGCAUCAGGCAGCCACAGGAAGGGGCUCUGAGUAUGGCUUCUCUUUUAUGCGCCUGCAGUCACAGCAGCUGCCAUGAGAACAUCAGGUCCCUGUGGCCUCCACUGCAAGCAUGACUUCUCUAAGCCAGAGCUUAAAGGGGGACUUGGAGUGGCCAAGAUGGCUUCUCUGCUACACAGGCCGCACAGUGUCCUGAGAGGAUUCAUUAUGAGAAAAAUGUCAAUCACAGCUUUAAAACUUACUUUGGAAAGAACUCAUGAGAAAGAAAAUUGAAAGUUUUAAGGUGCUGUGAUGUGAGGAUGACCGUAGCCCAAGACCAAGACUGGGGGAAUGGUCUACCUACAGCCUGGCCGGACUUACUGUGAGUAUCUUUGGGAGUGUUGGGGGAAGAGAAGGAGCUGAAGACCAGUGGCAGAAAUGGCAGAGUGUUCCUGGGGACCACAUAGGGGCUGUUAGUAUCCCCACCCCACGCUUCUGCAGAGGGCCUGUGUCUACACACCACCCCAUGCUGUGUGUGUGAGCACACGGGACUGCACACACCACACUCACCUUAGCCUACACUAUGAGGGGUGCUGCUGCUUUGAAUCCCUUCCUUUGUCGUGAGGUCUUCAUGCUGGUGCCUGAUCCCUGAGAGCCCUCGCUGUUGACACCCUUCCUUUCAUACCUUCCCACAUUUCUGGAUUCCUUGCCCCCAAAGUCAUGUGCUCUCCACAUUUCUGUAGGGUUUGCUCUUUGCCAAGGUUAAAUGGAUGAUCAAAAUAAGGAAAGUAUUGAUGAGGGAUGGUGGGUCCCAUGUGAAACCUUCUCUUCUAACACAUUUGCUCUAUGGCAGGACCUCACUGCUGUCCUCCAAAUGAGCAGUUAGUGCAGAGAACAUUAGGUCCCGAGGUAGGUCUGGGAGGAGAAGUGGGGGGGUGGGGGAUGGAGGGUGGGGGAUGAGGGUGCUGGCAGAGAAGUUGGAGGGAUUCUUGGAAUUGUUGCCUUCAACCUCACUGGGGGAGGACGCCCACUGGGAAAUGAGGGCUGUGUCUUUGCAUCAGGAAAGUGCAUAGGGAGUGCUGAGGGGGCGUAUGCACAGGCCUGGGAGAAGGGCUGAUUUUUACCCAAAGACCCCAGACUGUUCUGACCUGAAAUGAAGAUUUCAGACCAUGCAGGGGUGAGGCAAAUACAGGGGUGCGACAGAUGAGAACAUUUAAGUACUUGGGGAGCCAGAAAAAGUAUGCUUGGUGACAAGGAGAGACAAACUGGUUCAGUUUCCAGUUGCAGAAAACAAGAA
rnacentral:lncRNA from 13 species